rnacentral:lncRNA from 1 species
GGGGGGACGGGGGUGCCACAUAAAGCCGGCACUCUUGGAGGCAGGGCCCGCGGCGGUUUCCAUGCGGGGCGUCCCGAGGAUGUUUGGAGGGGGUCGCGGGGCGAGGGGAGCUGGGGCCCCCUCAGGGGGGCGGCCGGGCGCGUCUGAGCCGCCGGGCCCCGCCCGUCUGUGAUUGCAGCAAGCCUUCAACGCCACGGCCGUGGUCAGGCACAUGCGGAAGCUGCACCUGGGGAGCAGCCUGGACAGCUCGAGCGCCGGCGUCGCCAGCGGCCUCAGCCUGGCCGGCCAGAAAGACUGCCUGGCGUCCUCCACCCUCUGUAGUUUCAUGUCCUCUCCGUCGGGGGUCUCCGGAGCCGAGCGGAGACCACGUCCCACCACCGUGGCCACGGGGCACGCCUGCAGCAAGUGAUGAGGCAGGGCCGGAGCCCCCACAGCCCAGGACCCUCCUCGGGGAACCCCCGGGCCUGGUCCCUUCCUGCAGAGGACUGGAAGACGCGCGUUUUUUUAUGGCCAUAUUUUAUACUGCAAUUCUGAAGGCGUUCCUUUUCUCACGGACUCUACUGGCGCGAGGGCGCUGGCUCCAGCGGAUCCGGUGCUGUCCACGCGAGUCUGGCGAAGCUCCAGCCGAACGGACCGCCCUGCUCCUCUCCCCGGCGCCCGGCGCGCCCGCUCUUUUGGGCAUAGCCAACCAUCUACGUUGUGUUUUCUCAUUAGCCACAAAAAUGGUUUCAACUGGAUUAUUUAAGUAUCGGUUUAAAUAUUGUGCAUUAGGGUUUGUUUUUUCCUUUUAAGAAAUGUGUCCUUUCUAUCUCCACCUCUUAGUUACAUGCCCUGUAUCUUUUGCUCUUUCAGAAGUAGAACUUUAUGUUAACCCUUUAAGAGAGUUUUUUCCAUCCAAGGGGAAUUUAAAGGUUAUUUUUUAAAAUUCUAAGAAGAAGAUCAAGAAUCUGUCUUUAAGGCUGAGUGCACUUUACUCCAUCUCUUCUGCUCCCCUUUCUUGGGGGAGGUCCCCAAGAAGACAAGGCGGCAGCUCUGCAGGGCUGGCUCCUCCCCAGCGAGGCUCUGGGAGAGAACCUGCCAGAACCUUUCCUCCCGCUCCUCUCGCCAACACCGCGCCCGCCAGGGACCAGGGCAGCAGCUGGCCGUUGGGGUCAGGAGCCAGGAAGCCCACUCGUCCCAGAACCAAGGCUGCCCCGCUGAGAGGAGACGCCGCAAAGGAGGGUUUCGGCCCCUGCAGGGGCCGGGUCCCGCCCACAGCUGUCCCCCCUCAGAGGCUCGGCCGGAGGAGAGCGCCGCUCUCGGGCUAUGCAGUUUUAAAUCAGCCUCAUGCUCUAUUUUUUAAACGUGCAUUUCUAGUGUGACACUUGCAAAUGGCCCCCGACUCACCGAAGAACGUCCACCCCUUCUUCCGAGGAUGCUGCUGGACAGAGGGCGUGGCCUUGGAGGAGAACCGGCCUGGACAGCCAGAGGGCGCUUUCCCGGCCCUGCCUCUGAACACCAAAGACCUUGGCUGGCACCGGGACCAGAGGAUUGCCCCAAAUGGGGGGCUUCUAGAGCUAAAACCCGGAGAGCUCCGGGCCUGCCAGGGCCACAGCCCACCCCAGGUGGUGCAGGUGCAGGGGAUGCCCGGGGCGCGGCCGCUUGUCAGGGCCGCUGUGACGAUGCUUGCGUAGAGCCAGGCAGGUGUCCCCAGAGGCCGGGUUCCCUGCAUCCCUGAGUCCGAAUCCCGCACAGUCAGCCUGGCCCCCAGGGGUCCCAGCGGCGAGCCCGAGGGGCGGAGGGCCCCUGGGUGGAUACUGCUUCUGCUUUCCUCGUGCCGCCUCCCCUCCCUUGCAGCCUGCUCCACAGGGCCCGCCGGUCACGCCAGCCUUACCACAUCCACGCUUUGCCUAUGCCCGAGCCACACGCUUAGCAGUGCCCUCCCAACAUGCACACAUGCUCACACAGGCCCGCGUGCACACGCAGGGCUGCUGUGUCCAGCGGCUCCAUCUGCCGCCAUGAGGGUGGCCGUCCAGGUGUGCCCAGGUGUGUCCAGGUGCAGCUGUAGGGCCCCUGGCCCCCCACGGCCUGUCGGCUCUCGGCUGCUUGGCAGAAUCCCACUCAGGGUCUGGAAUCAGUGCUCCAACCGCAGCCCCGUAAGAAGCAAGUUGCUCUGCGCCGGGGCUGCGUCACCCCACAUCCCCCGCCUCUGCAGAAGGACGGUGACGUGAAUCCCGUGAACGAGACUUAGGGAGCUGUGGAGUCUCCAGGUGUGCUGCCAUGUUCCUGAUGAGCAGGUGCUCCGAAGCUUCGCAGUUCCUGCCGUAGGAGGCAGGACGUUUUGGAGGAGCUGAUUUCCGUGGGCUUCGUGCCAACAGUGUGUGUUCGAGGUGCCGUCGGCUCUUUGUCCUUGUGCCGUGGCCGUUUGCAUUUAGGAGGCAGCCUUGGAAGCCACAUCCUCUCAUCGGCGACGAAAAGAUGUUCUGGAGUGAAUCUAGGGGGUGCGUGUGACAUGCAGUUAGGCUGGAAGUCUCGCCUGCUAAGUGCGGAGCAGCUGGGGGGCGCCCGGGGCCCAGGCUCGCGCCCACCCACGACGGUCCCCUUGCCACAGUGAGGUCCCGGAUCAGCGCAGGAGGGGGUGGUGACGCCGCGCAGCCCAGCAUCGGCCGUGCUGGACGUGACAUCAGAGCAAGCCCACGCCACCUUUCUACCACCAGGCCUCCAUGACUCCCUGCUUGGAGCCACCAGAUAUUCCCAGAAGCGGGGAGAUAAGUUCCGCACGGGCCCUUGCUCGGGCUGCAUGGGUGAAGCAGCUCUCCUUCGCCUGCGCUUGGUCUUACUGAUGUUUUCUCACAAAACGGGCCAACAACCCGGAAGGGACCUUUUGCAAAGACCUGGCAGGAGGAGCGGCCCAGCCCGGGGCGCCCCGCUCACGUCUGCUCCGACAGGCGGCCGCCGAGCGUGCCAGCCGGGUGCCAGGGACCGCGGCCCGGCACCUUCGCCCUAGCCCGAGCUCCGCCGCCAGCCUCUCCACCUUCUCAGAGCAAGCGGACUUGGUUUUUCCUCCCUUGAGCAUUAGCUGUUGGAACAGUGUUCUGGAAAGGGCUUUCCCUCUGCAGCCUGCCUGCACUCCAUGGCCUAAGCAAGGCGCCGAGGAGAGCCGCGUUUGCCCGAAACAGACCGUGAGUCCACGGCGCGCCGCCGCCCACCCCCGCGGCCCUUGGGCAGUGCUUCCAUCCCACCAAGGUCUGGCUGGAGUCCGGGCCCUCCCGCAGCCGCCGUCCCCUCACCGAGCACGCCGGGGCCCCAGCGUCAGGGCAGGUGGAGUGAAGCCAGCUGGAGCUGA